rnacentral:rRNA from 1 species
AACCUGGUUGGGUGGUCUGCCUUCACGGUACGUACUGCUUGGCCGGGUUCUACCUCUUGGUGAGCCAGCAUGCCCUUCACUGGGUGUGUCGGGGAACCAGGACUUUUACCUUGAAAAAAUUAGAGUGUUCAAAGCAGGCGUAACUUGCAUUCGAAUAUAUUAGCAUGGGAUAAUAGAAUA